UUUGGAAAAGAGGGGUAACUUUACCCUUCACUUCACACGGUCAUGAAAAGAAAAGGGGAAGGGGUGAAAUCCCUAAAUCCCCAAAUUCCUCCUUCCUGUCGGCGGCGGUGAAGCAGCGAAGGAAACUCACCAAAGAUGAAACGGCGGCGAUGGAAGACAGCAACGGCGGUAGUGUUGCUUUGAGAUCAUCAUCCUCCUUUCUCUUCGGUUCAAACCGAUUCGGAACCGUGAAGGUGGAAUGAGGCUACCAUGGUUCGAUUACUCUCCUCUAUCGGCCUUUCUCUUCCCAUUCUUCCUUCAACUUCUUUAUUCAAACGGUGCAACAUCAAAAGGGAGAUAGGUUGCCAUAUCCGGCGAAGGUGGCAAUGAGACGCAUCGAUGGUGGUUCUGCCGUGAGGGGUACUCUCUUCUUCUGCAUUCUAUUUCUUCAUGAUGCAAAGGGAAUCAAAUUCCCAAAUUCCCUUUCCAUCUUCUCUCUUUCGUAGCAGUGGCGAUUAAUGACGCUGUGAGGUUGCUACGGCGGGUUAGGGAACCGAAAGGGAACCCAUUUCCCUUUUCUCCUUCGUUCCAGUGAUGGUGUGUCGACCAAAGAGGCUUUGCGGUGAUGGAUGGGGAAUGAAUUCUUUUUUAACUUAAGAUUCUCUUAUUGCGCAUGCUGAUUCUGAAUCUGUUUGGCAUGUUAUAGAGAAGGCCAUGCAGACGUAGACAAACCAUGAUUCCUAUUGUAUUUUUUCUUCAAUGCUGCAUGAACAGAAUUCUAACUUCUACCCCAUUGACAGGAUAUUAACUUGGAUAAUUCUUCACAGCAACAAGGAUUAAAUUGUUGCCAAUUAAGAGCAUCCAUCAACAGCUAUAGUUUUUUUUAGUGGUUGUAGUGAUGGAAAACUUAAUUGUAUUGUAACAUUCUUGAAGUCUCUAUAACACAUUUCCUAAGAAGCAAUUUUU